UACGUAGGGGGCAAGCGUUAUCCGGAUUUACUGGGUGUAAAGGGAGCGUAGGCGGCGAUGCAAGUCAGAAGUGAAAGCCCGGGGCUCAACUCCGGGACUGCUUUUGAAACUGUAUGGCUAGAUUGCAGGAGAGGCAAGUGGAAUUCCUAGUGUAGCGGUGAAAUGCGUAGAUAUUAGGAGGAACACCAGUGGCGAAGGCAGCCUGCUGGACUGUAACUGACGCUGAUGCUCGAAAGCAUGGGUAUCGAACAGG
rnacentral:rRNA from 1 species